UGGGGAAUUUUGGACAAUGGGGGCAACCCUGAUCCAGCAAUGCCGCGUGAGUGAAGAAGGCCUUCGGGUUGUAAAGCUCUUUUGUCAGGGAAGAAACGGYKCNGGCUAAUACCCUGAGCUAAUGACGGUACCUGAAGAAUAAGCACCGGCUAACUACGUGCCAGCAGCCGCGGUAAUACGUAGGGUGCGAGCGUUAAUCGGAAUUACUGGGCGUAAAGCGUGCGCAGGCGGUUGUGCAAGACAGAUGUGAAAUCCCCGGGCUCAACCUGGGAAUUGCAUUUGUGACUGCACGGCUAGAGUGUGUCAGAGGGGGGUAGAAUUCCACGUGUAGCAGUGAAAUGCGUAGAGAUGUGGAGGAAUACCGAUGGCGAAGGCAGCCCCCUGGGAUAACACUGACGCUCAUGCACGAAAGCGUGGGGAGCAAACAGGAUUAGAUACCCUGGUAGUCCACGCCCUAAACGAUGUCAACUAGUUGUCGGGUCUUAAUUGACUUGGUAACGCAGCUAACGCGUGAAGUUGACCGCCUGGGGAGUACGGUCGCAAGAUUA
rnacentral:rRNA from 1 species